AUGCCACCCAAGGACUACAAGAAGAAGACAGACACUGGAAAGUCAGCCAAGAAAGACAAAGACCCAGUGAACAAACCCGGGGGCAAGGCCAAAAAGAAGAAAUGGUCCAAAGGCAAAGUUAGGGACAAGCUCAAUACCUUGUCUUGUUUGACAAAGCUACAUAUGACAAACUCUGUAAGGAAGUUCCCAACUAUAAACUUAUAACUCCAGUUGUGGUCUCUAAGAGACUGAAGAUUUGAGGUUCCCUGGCCAGGGCAGCCCUUCUGGAGCUCCUUAGUAAAGGACUUAUCAAACUGGUUUCAAAGCACAGAGCUCAAGUAAUUUACACCAGAAAUACCAAGGGCAGAGAUGCUCCAGCUGCUGGUGAAGAUGCAUGAACAG
rnacentral:lncRNA from 1 species